UGAGCAGGCUAUGCGGUAGCGGAAACGUUUAGUUUACGAGGAAAGUCCGGGCAUCACAGAGCAGGGUAGCUGCUAACGGCAGCCGAGGGCGACCUUAGGGCAAGUGCAACAGAGAUAUACUGCCGUCCUUACGGGCGGUGAUGGUGGAAAGGCGAGGUAAGAGCUCACCGGAGUACAGGAGACUGUGCUGCCAUGUAAACCCUAUCCGAUGCAACGUCUAUUGGUGCCUGUUAUCAUAACGUCGGCUCGGCGGAUAACUGGUAAUGACGGCUUCAGCUUAUCGGCGACGAUAAGCGUAGAUAAAUUACCGCACACGACAGAACCCGGCUUAUCGGUCUGGUCAUAAA
rfam:Ruminococcus flavefaciens 007c Rf007c_contig00750, whole genome shotgun sequence.